ACUGCUCAGUAACACGUGAUAACCUACCCUUAGGACAGGGAUAAACCCGGGAAACUGGGUAUAAUACCCGAUAGAUCUCGAAUGCUGGAAUGCAUCGAGAUCGAAAGCUCCGGCGCCUAAGGAUGGAUCUGCGGCCUAUCAGGUAGUAGUGGGUGUAGCGUACCUACUAGCCUACGACGGGUACGGGUUGUGAGAGCAAGAGCCCGGAGAUGGAUUCUGAGACACGAAUCCAGGCCCUACGGGGUGCAGCAGGCGCGAAAACUUUACAAUGCCGGCAACGGCGAUAAGGGGACCUCGAGUGCCAGGUUACAAAUCUGGCUGUCGAGAUGCCUAAAAAGCAUUUCAUAGCAAGGGCCGGGCAAGACCGGUGCCAGCCGCCGCGGUAACACCGGCGGCUCGAGUGGUAACCGUUAUUAUUGGGUCCAAAGGGUCUGUAGCCGGCCGGAUAAGUCUCUUGGGAAAUCUGGCAGCUUAACUGUCAGGCUUUCAGGAGAUACUGUCUGGCUCGUGGCCGGGAGAGGUGAGAGGUACUUCAGGGGUAGGGGUGAAAUCUUGUAAUCCUUGAAGGACCACCAGUGGCGAAGGCGUCUCACCAGAACGGACCUGACGGCAAGGGACGAAAGCUAGGGGCACGAACCGGAUUAGAUACCCGGGUAGUCCUAGCCGUAAACGAUACUCGCUAGGUGUCGGCCGCGGUGCGACCGUUGUCGGUGCCGUAGGGAAGCCGUGAAGCGAGCCACCUGGGAAGUACGGCCGCAAGGCUGAAACUUAAAGGAAUUGGCGGGGGAGCAC
rnacentral:rRNA from 1 species